ACCAUUUGUCCUAAGUCAAAGUUUUAUAGUUUUGACCAACUUUUAAAAAAAGAGUAGUAAUAUAUAUGACACCAAAUUGAUAUAUUAUGAAAACACAUUUCAAAACGAAUCUAGUGAUACUAAUUUAGUGCCAUAAAUGCUGCUACUUUUUUCUAUAAAGUUGAUCAGAGUUUUAAAACUUUGACUUAGUACAAAAGUUA
rnacentral:pre_miRNA from 1 species